rnacentral:rRNA from 1 species
GUGUAGCGGUGGAAUGCGCAGAUAUCAGGAGGAACACCGAUGGCGAAGGCAGAUCUCUGGGCCGUAACUGACGCUGAGGAGCGAAAGCGUGGGGAGCGAACAGGAUUAGAUACCCUGGUAGUCCACGCCGUAAACGUUGGGCGCUAGAUGUAGGGACCUUUCCACGGUUUCUGUGUCGUAGCUAACGCAUUAAGCGCCCCGCCUGGGGAGUACGGCCGCAAGGCUAAAACUCAAAGGAAUUGACGGGGGCCCGCACAAGCGGCGGAGCAUGCGGAUUAAUUCGAUGCAACGCGAAGAACCUUACCAAGGCUUGACAUACACCGGAAACGGCCAGAGAUGGUCGCCCCCUUGUGGUCGGUGUACAGGUGGUGCAUGGUUGUCGUCAGCUCGUGUCGUGAGAUGUUGGGUUAAGUCCCGCAACGAGCGCAACCCUCGUUCUAUGUUGCCAGCGCGUUAUGGCGGGGACUCAUAGGAGACUGCCGGGGUCAACUCGGAGGAAGGUGGGGAUGACGUCAAAUCAUCAUGCCCCUUAUGUCUUGGGCUUCACGCAUGCUACAAUGGCCGGUACAAAGGGCUGCGAUACCGUAAGGUGGAGCGAAUCCCAAAAAGCCGGUCUCAGUUCGGAUUGAGGUCUGCAACUCGACCUCAUGAAGUCGGAGUCGCUAGUAAUCGCAGAUCAGCAACGCUGCGGUGAAUACGUUCCCGGGCCUUGUACACACCGCCCGUCAAGUCAUGAAAGUCGGUAACACCCGAAGCCGGUGGCCUA